rnacentral:misc_RNA from 1 species
UUUCCGUAGGUGAACCUGCGGAAGGAUCAUUAUCGUACAAAAUGUGAGGGGCAUGCGAGGGCUGUCGCUGACCCAAAAGUCGUGCACGCCCGAGUGUGUCCUCUUGCAUAAUAAUCCAUCUCACCCUUUGUGCAUCACCGCGUGGGCACCCUUCGGGAUCAUCUCGGAGGGGGGCUCGCGUUUUCCCACAAACCCCCCUUUUAAAAGUGUAGAAUGACCACGUUUAUGCAAUCAAUACAACUUUCAACAACGGAUCUCUUGGCUCUC